UUCCGGUUGAUCCUGCCGGAGGCCACUGCUAUGGGGGUCCGACUAAGCCAUGCGAGUCAUGGGGCGCCUUGCGCGCACCGGCGGACGGCUCAGUAACACGUCGGUAACCUACCCUCGGGAGGGGGAUAACCCCGGGAAACUGGGGCUAAUCCCCCAUAGGCCUGAGGUACUGGAAGGUCCUCAGGCCGAAAGGGGCUCUGCCCGCCCGAGGAUGGGCCGGCGGCCGAUUAGGUAGUUGGUGGGGUAACGGCCCACCAAGCCGAAGAUCGGUACGGGCCAUGAGAGUGGGAGCCCGGAGAUGGACACUGAGACACGGGUCCAGGCCCUACGGGGCGCAGCAGGCGCGAAACCUCCGCAAUGCGGGCAACCGCGACGGGGGGACCCCCAGUGCCGUGGCAUCGCCACGGCUUUUCCGGAGUGUAAAGAGUUCCGGGAAUAAGGGCUGGGCAAGGCCGGUGGCAGCCGCCGCGGUAAUACCGGCGGCCCGAGUGGUGGCCGCUAUUAUUGGGCCUAAAGCGUCCGUAGCCGGGCCCGUAAGUCCCUGGCGAAAUCCCACGGCUCAACCGUGGGGCUUGCUGGGGAUACUGCGGGCCUUGGGACCGGGAGAGGCGGAGGGUACUCCUGGGGUAGGGGUGAAAUCCUAUAAUCCCAGGAGGACCGCCAGUGGCGAAGGCGCUCCGCUGGAACGGGUCCGACGGUGAGGGACGAAGGCCAGGGGAGCGAACCGGAUUAGAUACCCGGGUAGUCCUGGCUGUAAAGGAUGCGGGCUAGGUGUCGGGCGAGCUUCGUGCUCGCCCGGUGCCGAAGGGAAGCCGUUAAGCCCGCCGCCUGGGGAGUACGGCCGCAAGGCUGAAACUUAAAGGAAUUGGCGGGGGAGCACUACAAGGGGUGGAGCGUGCGGUUUAAUUGGAAUCAACGCCGGA
rnacentral:rRNA from 1 species